CGUAGCUAACGCGUGAAGUAUCCCGCUGGGGAGUAUGCUCGCAAGAGUGAACUCAAAGGAAUUGACGGGGCCCGCACAAGCGGUGGAGCAUGUGUUUAAUUCGAUGCAACGCGAAGAACCUUACCAGGACUUGACAUGUCACUUUUUCUCCGAAAAGAGAAGUGUUCUCCCAUGCUUGCAUGGAAGAAAAGGGUGAACACAGGUGGUGCAUGGCUGUCGUCAGCUCGUGUCUUGAGAUGUUGGGUUAAGUCCCGCAACGAGCGCAACCCUUGUUUUGUGUUGCUUGUUUUUUUCCAUUUGGAAACAUUCAAGGAAACUCAAAAGACUGCCGGUGACAAGCCGGAGGAAGGUGAGGAUGACGUCAAGUCAGCAUGCCCCUUACGUCCUGGGCGACACACGUGCUACAAUGGCCGAGACAAAGAGAUGCAAUCCCGCGAGGGCAAGCCAACCUCAAAAACUCGGUCUCAGUUCGGAUUGCAGGCUGCAACUCGCCUGCAUGAAGUCGGAAUCGCUAGUAAUCGCAGGUCAGCCAUACUGCGGUGAUACGUUCCCGGGCCUUGUACACACCGCCCGUCACACCAUGGGAGCUGGCUACGCCCAAAGUCGUUACCCCAACCUGUUCAGGAGGGGGACGCCUAAGGCAGGGCUAGUGACUG
rnacentral:rRNA from 1 species